AUUGAACGCUGGCGGCAUGCUUUACACAUGCAAGUCGAACGGCAGCACGGGCUUCGGCCUGGUGGCGAGUGGCGAACGGGUGAGUAAUAUAUCGGAACGUACCCAGAAGUGGGGGAUAACGUAGCGAAAGUUACGCUAUACCGCAUACGAUCUAUGGAUGAAAGCAGGGGACCGCAAGGCCUUGUGCUCCUGGAGCGGCCGAUAUCUGAUUAGCUAGUUGGUGAGGUAAAGGCUCACCAAGGCGACGAUCAGUAGCUGGUCUGAGAGGACGACCAGCCACACUGGAACUGAGACACGGUCCAGACUCCUACGGGAGGCAGCAGUGGGGAAUUUUGGACAAAGGGCGCAAGCCUGAUCCAGCAAUGCCGCGUGAGUGAAGAAGGCCUUCGGGUUGUAAAGCUCUUUUGUCAGGGAAGAAACGGUAGAGGCUAAUAUCCUUUGCUAAUGACGGUACCUGAAGAAUAAGCACCGGCUAACUACGUG
rnacentral:rRNA from 1 species